rnacentral:rRNA from 1 species
AGCGAACGCUGGCGGCAUGCCUAACACAUGCAAGUCGAACGCCCCUUCGGGGUCGUGGCGGGCUGGUGGGUAACCCGUGGGGUUAUGCACUUUGGUAUGGCACAACUUAGGGAAACUUCAGCUAAUACCUUAUGUGCCCUACGAGGGGAAGUUUUAUCGCAAUUGGUGCAGCCCGCGUUGGAUUAGGGAGUUGGUGGGGUAAUGGCCCACCAAGCCUACGUUCCAUAGCUGGUCUGAGAGGAUGAGCAGCGACACUGGGGCUGGGACACGGCCCAGAAUGCUAGGGAAGGGAGGAGAGGGGAAUCUAGCGAAAGGGGGGAAAGGCUGACGCAGCCAGGCGGGGUAAAUGAUGAAGGUCGUAGGAAUGUAAAAUUCUUUCAGAGGGGAAGAUAAUGACGGUACCGGGAGAAGAAGCACCGGCUAACUACGUG